rnacentral:rRNA from 1 species
GGGCCCGCACAAGCGGUGGAGUAUGUGGUUUAAUUCGAUGCAACGCGAAGAACCUUACCAGGGUUUGACAUCCUGCGAAUCUCUUGGAAACAGGAGAGUGCCUUCGGGAACGCAGUGACAGGUGGUGCAUGGCUGUCGUCAGCUCGUGUCGUGAGAUGUUGGGUUAAGUCCCGCAACGAGCGCAACCCACGUCUUUAGUUGCCAGCAUUUAGUUGGGCACUCUAGAGAGACUGCCGGUGAUAAACCGGAGGAAGGUGUGGAUGACGUCAAAAUCAUCACGGCCCCUUACGUCCCUGGGCUACACACGUGCUACAAUGGUAGGGACAGAGAGCAGCCACUUCGUGAGAAGGAGC